AUUGCGAUUAAGUAAUGAAGGGCGCACGGUGGAUGCCUUGGCACUAAGAGCCGA
rnacentral:rRNA from 1 species